rnacentral:rRNA from 1 species
GAGCGGUAGAGAGAAGCUUGCUUCUCUUGAGAGCGGCGGACGGGUGAGUAAUGCCCAGGAAUCUGCCUGGUAGUGGGGGAUAACGUUCGGAAACGAACGCUAAUACCGCAUACGUCCUACGGGAGAAAGCAGGGGACCUUCGGGCCUUGCGCUAUCAGAUGAGCCUAGGUCGGAUUAGCUAGUUGGUGAGGUAAUGGCUCACCAAGGCGACGAUCCGUAACUGGUCUGAGAGGAUGAUCAGUCACACUGGAACUGAGACACGGUCCAGACUCCUACGGGAGGCAGCAGUGGGGAAUAUUGGACAAUGGGCGAAAGCCUGAUCCAGCCAUGCCGCGUGUGUGAAGAAGGUCUUCGGAUUGUAAAGCACUUUAAGUUGGGAGGAAGGGCAGUUACCUAAUACGUGAUUGUUUUGACGUUACCGACAGAAUAAGCACCGGCUAACUCUGUG